rnacentral:tRNA from 1 species
GGAGAGGUGGCUAAAUGGUUAAGAGCACUGACUACUAUUCCAGAGGACCUGGGUUUAAUUCCCAGCAACCGUA